GACAGAGGAUGCAAGCGUUAUCCGGAAUGAUUGGGCGUAAAGCGUCUGUAGGUGGCUUUUUAAGUCCGCCGUCAAAUCCCAGGGCUCAACCCUGGACAGGCGGUGGAAACUACCAAGCUGGAGUACGGUAGGGGCAGAGGGAAUUCCCGGUGGAGCGGUGAAAUGCGUAGAUCUUGGAAAGACCACCGAUGGCGAAGGCACUCUACUGGGCCACUACUGACACUGAGAGACGAAAGCUAGGGGAGCAAAUGGG
rnacentral:rRNA from 1 species